GAUGAAGAACGUAGCGAAAUGCGAUAAGUAAUGUGAAUUGCAGAAUUCAGUGAAUCAUCGAAUCUUUGAACGCACAUUGCGCCCGCCAGCACUCUGGCGGGCAUGCCUGUUCGAGCGUCAUUUCAACCAUCAAGCCCCCAGGGGCUUGUGCUGGGGCCCUGCGGCUGCCCGCAGGCCCUGAAAACCAGUGGCGGGCUCGCUAGUCACACCGAGCGCAGUGGCACAUCUCGCUCAGGGCGUGCGGCGGGCUCCUGCCGUGAAACCCCCCACUGUAACCCCAAAGGUUGACCUCGGAUCAGGUAGGAAUACCCGCUGAACUUAAGCAUAUCAAUAAGCGGAGGA
rnacentral:misc_RNA from 1 species